UGAGCAUCAUCUCUAAACCGGAUGAUUCUUAUUUUGAACCAGCCCCACAACCCAAAUCAUUUGAUUUUAAAGUAAAUUUCAGUUGCCGAUUGUACGACGUAUUGACGUUCGUGAACCGCGGUUGGAAAAUCACCAUUUUGCUAUGCCGACGCUCAGUGGAUUUACUCGUGUUUUGUUGAAAUAUUUGGAAUUUUCAAGAAGUUAAAAGUUACCACGAGAAUGAUUACAACCGGCAAUUUUCUUCCCAACAAGAUAAACCUCUUUCUGAUACGCUACGCUAGGUGUUUUUUAGCAACAGAAAUGGAUACUACAAUUUUUGCAACUUCCUGACAGCCAACACGUAAUUGUACCCGGAAUUGUUAUCCUGAAGCCUCGGAAUGACAGGCAACUCUCGGUUACUGCUUUACGACCAAGCGACGAUGUUCCGAACUUUAAAAAUAAAAUACAUACUUAAGCAUGUGUAGAUUAUAUGUAUAUUAUCAAAGCGAGAACAAUAAAAACCUAUUUACAU